AUGAGAUUUGAUCUCAAAGGCAGUGUUAAAAAAAGGUAUUCUUCCAGUUGUACUGACUUCAACAGCUGUCUGGGAUGUACUGUUAGGAAUGUCGAUUUAAAUAAAGAGAAAGUGACUUCAACAGCUGUCUGGGAUGUACUGUUAGGAAUGUCGAUUUAAAUAAAGAGAAAGUGACUUCAACAGCUGUCUGGGAUGUACUGUUAGGAAUGUCGAUUUAAAUAAAGAGAAAGUGCUCACGAUUUAAACAGAACUACAAAAACAGAUUUAACAUUCGGUAUUCUUUGUAAACGGGGACGAACAACAAUACAUUGGAUAUUUAUGGACAGUUUUACUUGUUGCUCGGUACUAAUGACUUGCAUGGUACUUAAAUGGGGUCAGAAUAUUCAGAUAAAAAUUUAUGUAGUCUAGUGGCAUCAGAGACAGUUCCUGUCAGCUUUUUAUGUUAAUAUGAAAAUGAUUGCUAAGGAAUACAGCAUUUAACUGUUACUCAAACAAAUAUUGAAAUAUAUUUAAUUCCUAUCUCUUUGUUCUUCAAAAUAGUGUUUUCACAGGAACCUAGGUAGACUAACCCCCAUGUGAACUGAUUUCGAGCCAAAUGGUCAUAUUCCACAUAAACCAUAGCAGCUAUUAAUGCAGAACAGUCUUUAUGUACAGUACUGGUACUGGUCCAGCUGCUGGUAAGGCUUGUCGUAUAGUGGUAAAGUAGAAGCUGACCAGGCCUGGUUUAGUGUUGAGACUAGAGGUUGACCGAUUAAUCGGAAUGGCCGAUUAAUUAGGGCCGAUUUCCGGUUUUCAUAACAAUCGGAAAUUGGUAUUUUUGAGCCCCGAUUUGCCGAUAAAAAUAAAUAAAUAUGUAUACCUUUAUUUAACUAGGCAAGUCAGUUAAGAACACAUUCUUACUUUCAAUGAUGGCCUAGGAACGGUGGGUUAACUGCGUUGUUCAGAGGCAGAACGACAGAUUUUCACCUUGUCAGUUCGGGGGAUUCAAACUUGCAACCUUACAGUUAACUAGACAACGCAAUAACGACCUGCCUCUCUCUCGUUGCACUCCACAAGGAGACUGCCUGUUAGAUGAAUGCAGUAAACCAAGGUAAAUUGCUAGCUAGCAUUAAACUUAUCUUAUAAAAAACAAUCAAUCAUAAUCACUAGUUAACUACACAUGGUUGAUGAGACUGAGCAUACAAGCAUCUGACUGAGCGGUGGUAGGCAGAAGCAGGCGCGUAAACAUUCAUUCAAACAGCACUUUCGUGCGUUUUGCCAGCAGCUCUUCGUUGUGCGUCAAGCAUUGCGCUGUUUAUGACUUCAAGCCUAUCAACUCCUGAGAUGAGGCUGGUGUAACCGAAGUGAAAUGGCUAGCUUGUUAGCGCGCGCUAACUAGAGGGACGGAAGCUAUACUGUUUCACUGGCAAUACUAAAGUGCCUAUAAGAACAUCAAAUAGUCAAAGGUUAAUGAAAUACAAAUGGUAUAGAGGGAAAUAGUUCUAUAAUUCCUAUAAUAACUACAACCUAAAACGGCUUA
rnacentral:lncRNA from 1 species